UUGCGCCUGCGGCGGACCCGGCACUGCCUUUUCAGGCUUCGCAGGCAGUCGGCAGAGGUACGGUCCGGUACAUCCAUGAAUUUCAUGGAUUUAAUUUCUUCU
rnacentral:sRNA from 1 species